rnacentral:lncRNA from 1 species
GAAUAUUUCAUAUGAUACAUUUGAAUACAUUGAAGACAGUUUGCCUUUGGAAUGCUUGCUUGGAUUCUGGCUAUCUUUACCUGAUGCCUUUGAUCUUCAUACUUAUUGCUUGGAUGCUUAUCCUUGUUGCUUGCUCAAUAGUCCAAAGGAAACAGGUUUCUAUCUGACAUUAUUGUCUUGUGGAUUGCCUCCCAUUGGUCAGAUCUUUUCAACUCUAAACUUUUAAAUUUUUUCCUAGGGUAGUCCCUUCAUCUCCUCCUUUCCUUCUU